AUUGAACGCUGGCGGCAUGCUUUACACAUGCAAGUCGAACGGCAGCACGGGCUUCGGCCUGGUGGCGAGUGGCGAACGGGUGAGUAAUGCAUCGGAACGUACCGUGUAAUGGGGGAUAACGUAGCGAAAGUUACGCUAAUACCGCAUACGCCCUGAGGGGGAAAGCGGGGGAUCGUAAGACCUCGCGUUAUACGAGCGGCCGAUGUCGGAUUAGCUAGUUGGUGGGGUAAAGGCCUACCAAGGCGACGAUCCGUAGCGGGUCUGAGAGGAUGAUCCGCCACACUGGGACUGAGACACGGCCCAGACUCCUACGGGAGGCAGCAGUGGGGAAUUUUGGACAAUGGGCGCAAGCCUGAUCCAGCCAUGCCGCGUGAGUGAAGAAGGCCUCGGGUUGUAACUAGCUUUGUACGGUACGAAACGGUAGAGCUCUAAUACAGUUUGCUAAUGACGGUACCGUAAGAA
rnacentral:rRNA from 1 species